CCUACGGGUGGCUGCAGUGGGGAAUAUUGCACAAUGGGCGCAAGCCUGAUGCAGCCAUGCCGCGUGUGUGAAGAAGGCCUUCGGGUUGUAAAGCACUUUCAGCGGGGAGGAAGGCGUUAAGGUUAAUAACCUUGUCGAUUGACGUUACCCGCAGAAGAAGCACCGGCUAACUCCGUGCCAGCAGCCGCGGUAAUACGGAGGGUGCAAGCGUUAAUCGGAAUUACUGGGCGUAAAGCGCACGCAGGCGGUCUGUCAAGUCGGAUGUGAAAUCCCCGGGCUCAACCUGGGAACUGCAUUCGAAACUGGCAGGCUAGAGUCUUGUAGAGGGGGGUAGAAUUCCAGGUGUAGCGGUGAAAUGCGUAGAGAUCUGGAGGAAUACCGGUGGCGAAGGCGGCCCCCUGGACAAAGACUGACGCUCAGGUGCGAAAGCGUGGGGAGCAAACAGGAUUGGAUACCCCUGUAGUC
rnacentral:rRNA from 1 species